rnacentral:rRNA from 1 species
UACAGAGGUCUCAAGCGUUGUUCGGAUUCAUUGGGCGUAAAGGGUGCGUAGGUGGCGCGCUAAGUCGGGUGUGAAAUCCCGGGGCUUAACCUCGGGACUGCAUUCGAUACUGGCGUGCUUGAGGACUGGAGAGGAGACUGGAAUUCAUGGUGUAGCAGUGAAAUGCGCAGAUAUCAGGAGGAACACCGGUGGCGAAGGCGGGUCUCUGGGCCAUAACUGACGCUGAGGAGCGAAAGCGUGGGGAGCGAACAGG